UGAGGAAUAUUGGACAAUGGGCGAGUGCCUGAUCCAGCCAUGCCGCGUGCAGGAAGACCGCCCUAUGGGUCGUAAACUGCUUUUGUACGGGAAGAACAAGGGGCACUCGUGCCCUUCUGACGGUACCGUAAGAAUAAGGAUCGGCUAACUCCGUGCCAGCAGCCGCGGUAAUACGGAGGAUCCGAGCGUUAUCCGGAAUCAUUGGGUUUAAAGGGUCCGUAGGCGGGCCUUUAAGUCAGGGGUGAAAGGCCGCGGCUCAACCGCGGGACCGCCCUUGAUACUGGCGGCCUGGAGUCGUGGUGAAGUGGCCGGAAUAUGUGGUGUAGCGGUGAAAUGCAUAGAUAUCACAUGGAAUACCGAUUGCGAAGGCAGGCCACUAACCGCGUACUGACGCUGAUGGACGAAAGCGUGGGUAGCGAACA
rnacentral:rRNA from 1 species